CUCCUACGGGAGGCAGCAGUGAGGAAUAUUGGUCAAUGGGCGAGAGCCUGAACCAGCCAAGUAGCGUGAAGGAUGACUGCCCUAUGGGUUGUAAACUUCUUUUAUAAAGGAAUAAAGUCGGGUAUGGAUACCCGUUUGCAUGUACUUUAUGAAUAAGGAUCGGCUAACUCCGUGCCAGCAGCCGCGGUAAUACGGAGGAUCCGAGCGUUAUCCGGAUUUAUUGGGUUUAAAGGGAGCGUAGAUGGAUAUUUAAGUCAGUUGUGAAAGUUUGCGGCUCAACCGUAAAAUUGCAGUUGAUACUGGAUAUCUUGAGUGCAGUUGAGGCAGGCGGAAUUCGUGGUGUAGCGGUGAAAUGCUUAGAUAUCACGAAGAACUCCGAUUGCGAAGGCAGCUCACUGGAGCGCAACUGACGCUGAAGCUCGAAAGUGCGGGUAUCGAACAGGAUUAGAUACCCUGGUAGUCCGCACGGUAAACGAUGGAUGCCCGCUGUUGGUCUGAAUAGGUCAGCGGCCAAGCGAAAGCAUUAAGCAUCCCACCUGGGGAGUACGCCGGCAACGGUGAAACUCAAAGGAAUUGACGGGGGCCCGCACAAGCGGAGGAACAUGUGGUUUAAUUCGAUGAUACGCGAGGAACCUUACCCGGGCUUGAAUUGCAGAGGAAGGAUUUGGAGACAAUGACGCCCUUCGGGGCCUCUGUGAAGGUGCUGCAUGGUUGUCGUCAGCUCGUGCCGUGAGGUGUCGGCUUAAGUGCCAUAACGAGCGCAACCCCUCUCCUUAGUUGCCAUCAGGUUAAGCUGGGCACUCUGGGGACACUGCCACCGUAAGGUGUGAGGAAGGUGGGGAUGACGUCAAAUCAGCACGGCCCUUACGUCCGGGGCUACACACGUGUUACAAUGGCAGGUACAGAGAGACGGUCCCUUGCAAAAUGGAUCAAAUCCUUAAAGCCUGUCUCAGUUCGGACUGGGGUCUGCAACCCGACCCCACGAAGCUGGAUUCGCUAGUAAUCGCGCAUCAGCCAUGGCGCGGUGAAUACGUUCCCGGGCCUUGUACACACCGC
rnacentral:rRNA from 1 species